GUUCGGCUAGGCACCGACUAGGCGGCGGCUAGGCGCGCCUAAUCGCUAGUCGAUGGGGUGCCGCGUAGCCUAGGGGGUUAGGCGUGGUCUAGGCGGCCGCGGCGCCUAGGCGUCGACCAGCAGCGCCUCGGCGGCGAUUCGGCGGCGAGCAGGCGCUCAAGGCGGCGCUUAGUCGGGCGGGCUGCUGCGCGCGCAAUUUUUUUUCGGCCGCGCGGGAAGAUUACCUCGGUCCCGGUCGAUUGCCGCUCGCAGACCCUGCUCCCGCUCGCAGACGCGCGCCGAAGGGGAGCUUCGCCCGCCGGCGUUGCUCCUCCCCGCCAGCGCUGCUCCUCCCCCGCCGGCGUUGGUCGUCCUUGCGUGGCCUCGCUCCUCCAAGCCGGCGCUGCUCCUCCCCCGCCUGGAUCUCCUCCCCGCCGGCGCUGCCCGUCCUCGGCUCCUCGCCUGGAAGCUCCUCCCCGCCGGUGCUGCUCGCCUGCAGUCCUCCAAGGAUGUCAUCAGAAACUGCAGCUGCACCUUCUGAAACUGAAGCAGCUAGAGCGAAUCUCCUAAAAAGAAAUUCAGAUGAUGUUGGAUGGGAAUAUGGUGUUCUUGUUGAUCCUAACAACAAAGACAAGGUGAAGUGUAGGUUCUGUGACAAGGAGAUGAGGGGAGGGAUUUAUAGGUUGAAGGAGCAUCUUGCCCAUGUUGGAAAGAAUGUGAAGAAAUGCACGUCUACAACACCGCAGGCUCUAGAGGCUAAAGAGAAGUGCAAGAAAGCAAUAGAGGCUGCAAAAAGGAAGAGGGAGGAGAAGACUGUUUGUGAGCUAGAACUUAGAGAGGAAGUGAAUGUAUCUAGGGUUGGAGAGGAGUCAGAAGAAGUCACUUGUGUUGGAAGCUCACAGCCUCACAAAUUAGGGCCAAUUGACAAAUGGACACGUGCUAUUGAUCCUAUCAAGGCUGAUUCUUUCAAACAACAGCAGCUGAACAAGGAACCGUGAAAGAGAGCAUGAGGUGUACAAGUUUAUUGCAAGAUGGGCCUAUAAUCAUGCAAUAUCUUUCAAUGCAUGUGACAAUGAUGAGUUCAAGUAAAUGUGUGAAGCAAUUGGACAAUUUGGACCAGGACUUACACCUCCAACUCAAGAUGUCUUUCGAGGUAGUUUGCUGGAAGAAGAAUAUGCAAGAACCAAGAGUUUGCUGCAGGAACGUGAAGCCAAGAAGAUGAAAAAUGGGUGCUCUAUUAUGACCGAUGCUUGGUCAGAUAGGAAGAGGAGAAGCAUAAUGAAUAUAUGCACUAAUUGUGCUGAUGGAACCUCCUUCAUCAGCUCAAAAGAGAUGUCAGAUGUGUCACACAAGUGAAGUCAUUUUUGAAUUAGUGGACAAAGCAAUUGAAGACAUUGGUGAAGAAAAUGUGGUGCAAGUAGUCACUGACAAUGCCUCUAACAACAUGGGAGCAAAGAAGCUAUUGCUUGUGAAGAGACCACAAAAAUUUUGGACCUCUUGUGCAGCUCACACAAUCAACUUGAUGCUCCAAGGAAUUGGCAACUUGCCUCAGUUCAAGAAAGUGAUUGACCAAGCAAAGUCAUUUACCAUAUUUGUGUAUGGCCACACAAGAACAUUGGAGUGCUUGAGAUACUUCAAAGAUUGGAAAGAGCUAGUGAGGCCAGGAGUGACUAGGUUUGCUUCAUACUUUCUCACUUUGAACAGUAUGCAAGAGAAGAAGGACCAGUUAAAGAAGAUGGUGGUUCAUAGUAGGUGAGACUCAUUAAAGGAUGUGAAAUCAAAGAAAGGAAAAGAGGCCACAGCUACUAUAUUGAGUCCAGCCUUUUGGAAGGAUAUGAAGCUAAUGUUGGGUUUUUUUGAGCCAUUGGCCAAAGUCCUCCGUUUGGUUGAUGGGGAUGUGAAGCCAUCCAUGGGUUUCCUUUAUGGAGAGCUACUAAAGGCAAAGAGAGAGGUCAAAGAAGCCUUUGGCAAUGUUGAGUCUCGAUUCAAAGAUGUUAUGGCUGUUAUUGAGAAGAAGAUGAAUGGAAGACUUGAUUCUCCAUUGCAUUUGACAGCUUUUUUGCUGAAUCCACACUAUAGUUAUGCUAACCCAUCAAUCUUUGAUGAGCCCAAAAUGAAUGAAGCCUUCAUAUCUUGUGUUGAGCAAUUUUAUUAUCAUGAUGAGGAGAAACAAGAACAGGCUGCCAACUUUGAAUUGAAAAAGUUUCAGAAUAGAGAAGGACCAUUUAGCAAGAAGCUUGCAAGAACUUUUCAAAACUAUGAUUACAAUCCAGCAUCAUGGUGGCGGUUAUAUGGAACUGAAACACCAACUUUACAGAAGAUGGCUACAAGGAUAUUAUCUUUGACAUCAAGCUCUUCUGGUUGUGAAAGAAAUUGGAGUGGGUUUGAAGGGAUACACACUAAGAAGAGAAAUAGGCUGAACCGCCUCAACAAGUUGGUCUAUAUUUAGUUCAACAACAGGCUGAUGAAUAAGAGAGAAAAGAUUAAGUCAAAGAAAAUCACUGAUGUUCUCUUGUCUAGUGAUACAACUGAAGCUCAAGGUUUUCUCCAAGAGGGUGGAGAUGAUUGUGCAUUAGUUGACUUUAGAGAUGGGGUGGAAGAUGAGAUGGAAGGCACAAGGAUACCUUGGUCUGUCAUUGGAGAGGCAGUGGGAGCAGAUGAACAGCUUGAGCUGUGUAGAAGUGCAAGAGUGAGGGAGCUCUAUGCAGAAGAAGAAUUUGAGUCUGAAGAAGAAGAGUAUGAAGAUGAAGAUCUGUGCUACAGUGAAGAUGAAAUAUGAUCUGGACCAUCUCCAUCUAGUAGUGAAGCCUUUUGUGAUGCCCUAGUCUUAUGAACUGCAGCUGUGUCACUUUGUGUCUGUGUGUCUUCUUUUGUGAUUUGUGAGACCUGAACUAAGAACUAUGUGCUUGUGCUGUCCUUUAUUUAUAAAUUGUGUUGUGCACUUGUAUUGCUGUCCUAUCCACUUGUAUUGUAAUUACCAGCUGCUGGUAUGGUGUGCUCAUGGAUGGGAGGCUGCUGAAAUCAUCCAGAUAAGUCACAACUUAGUGUUUUCUAUUUUUUUUAUGAACAGCUAGCUGUCUAUUGACUAAUUUACUAACUACUAGCUGUCAAAAUGUGUUGCAGCCUUGCAGGAGCUGGGAACAUGCAAGAGUAAGGCAGCUAGGAAUCAGAUAUGUCUACUGCCCCUCUUUUUAUACUUACUAUGACUCAUAUAUAGUAGUUAUAUAUAUAUAUAUAGUUAUAUACAUAAUAUAUAUAAUUUAUGGCUAUAUUGCCAAAACGCCUAGAAAAACGCUUAGCGCCGCCUAGGGCCGAGUACUCCCGACUAGGCGCUAGGCAGUGGGUCAGCGCCUAGAUUCCGCCUAGCGCCUAGCUGAACUUUGUCUAGAGCUAUAUCCAACCAAAAAUUAUGUUCUAUACCAAUCUGUAAAUCUUGGCAAAAAAUCUACAACUUUGGUAGCACUGAUAGAACAGUUUCAGCCAUUAAGGUUUCUUGUGGUGGAACUUACUCAUCCGGGUUCGAGUCCUAAACUCAGCACGAGUGUUUAUAUUUUUCUAGAUCUAUUUUAGGAUUUAACUAGUACUAUUCUUUCAAUGGUAAGCGAUGUGCCUGCCGAAAGCGAGACAUCUAUAGUCGUCAAUCUUUUGGAUUUUCAAGAUCAGUCCUUUCCUCGUUCCAGUUUAUUCAUCCUCUCUUUAUAUUUUUAAUUUUUAAUUUCAUCUUUUGUGUUCUAAUCUUAUGCAAAUGUUCUUUGGAUUUAUAGUUCUUCUUUUCAAAAUUUAGAUUAUUCCAUCUCUAUUUUUAUAGUUUUUUCUUCCUAAUUUUUCUCUAUUCUUUUUCUUUACUAUUUUCUAUUUAUUUUCUUCCGACCUUUAACUUUUCUUUCUUUUUUUCCUUAUAUUAGUGAGUGAGUCAGUGUAGUUUUUUCUUCCUAAUUUCUCACUAUUCUUAUUCUUUACUACUGAUUUUCUAUUUAUUUCCUUCCGGAUUUCAGAUCUGAUUACUUCUUGUCUCCACGAGAAGACGAAUCUAAACAUGACGGAUACUCUAGCUAACCACUAGACUAAAAGGCUCUUUCGCUUUUUUUCCUUCUAAUUCUCUCUAUAUUUAUUAUCUUCAUUUACUCUUUCUUUCCAUUUUAUUUUCCCUUCUAAGCGUUAGGUUGAUAUUCUUAAUUUAUCUUUUUUUCAACAACAUUCCUCUUUCUAGUAUAUAAUUAGGUGAGUUUCUAUAUUGGCACAAUUUGUUUGUAUUGAAUAGUGAUUCGUGCACUGUGUA